rnacentral:rRNA from 1 species
AGUGAACGCUGGCGGUGUGCUUAACACAUGCAAGUCGAACGAGAACGGGUUAUAGCUUGCUAUAAUUGUCAGCUAAGUGGCGCACGGGUGAGUAAUGUAUAGGUAAUAUGCCUCUUACUAAGGGAUAACAAAUGGAAACGUUUGCUAAUGCCUUAUACUCCUUAUUAACAUAAGUUAAUAAGGGAAAGAUUUAUUGGUAAGAGAUUAGCCUGUAUUGUAUCAGUUAGUUGGUGGGGUAAUGGCUUACCAAGACUAUGACACAUAACUGGUUUGAGAGGAUGAUCAGUCACACUUGAACUGAGACACAGUCCAGACUCCUCCGGGAGGCAGCAGUGGUGAAUAUUGCACAAUGGACGAAAGUCUGAUGCAGCAACGCCGCGUGGAGGAUGACACAUUUCGGUGCGUAAACUCCUUUUAUAUGAGAAGAUAAUGACGGUAUUAUAUGAAUAAGCACCGGCUGACUCCGUGCCAGCAGCCGCAGUAA